GAAUGUAUUGCUCAGUGGUAGAGCAUGUGCUCAGCAUGCAUGAGGUUCUGGGUUCAAUGCCCAGUACCUCCA
rnacentral:tRNA from 1 species